GGAGGGUGCAAGCGUUGUUCGGAAUUAUUGGGCGUAAAGAGCGUGUAGGCGGUCCGGUAAGUCAGAUGUGAAAGCCCUGGGCUCAACCCAGGAAGUGCAUUUGAAACUACCAGACUUGAGUACGGGAGAGGAGGGGGGAAUUCCCGGUGUAGAGGUGAAAUUCGUAGAUAUCGGGAGGAAUACCAGUGGCGAGGGCGCCCCUCUGGACCGAUACUGACGCUGAGACGCGAAAGCGUGGGGAGCAAACAGGAUUAGAUACCCUGGGUAGUCCACGCCGUAAACGAUGAGCACUAGGUGUAGCGGGUAUUGACCCCCCUGCUGUGCCGUAGCUAACGCAUUAAGUGCUCCGCCUGGGGACUACGGUCGCAAGACUA
rnacentral:rRNA from 1 species